GCCUUCAUGGAGUAGUGGUAGCACGCUCGACGAAUAACCGAGAGGUCCGUGGUUCGAUUCUCGGCGAAGGCG
rnacentral:tRNA from 1 species